AUUGAACGCUGGCGGCAUGCUUUACACAUGCAAGUCGAACGGUAACAGGCCGCAAGGUGCUGACGAGUGGCGAACGGGUGAGUAAUGCAUCGGAACGUGCCCAGUCGUGGGGGAUAACGCAGCGAAAGCUGCGCUAAUACCGCAUACGAUCUAUGGAUGAAAGCGGGGGACCGAAAGGCCUCGCGCGAUUGGAGCGGCCGAUAUCAGAUUAGGUAGUUGGUGGGGUAAAGGCUCACCAAGCCAACGAUCUGUAGCUGGUCUGAGAGAACGACCAGCCACACUGGGACUGAGACACGGCCCAGACUCCUACGGGAGGCAGCAGUGGGGAAUUUUGGACAAUGGGCGCAAGCCUGAUCCAGCAAUGCCGCGUGCAGGAAGAAGGCCUUCGGGUUGUAAACUGCUUUUGUACGGAACGAAACGGUCCGGGUUAAUGCCUUGGGCUAAUGACGGUACCGUAAGAAUAAGCACCGGCUAACUACGUGCCAGCAGCCGCCGUAAUAC
rnacentral:rRNA from 1 species